rnacentral:miRNA from 1 species
UACCUGAACACUAGCAUUGACU